rnacentral:tRNA from 1 species
GGACCUAUAGUGUAACGGAAGCACACCGGGCUUUGACUCCGGGAGACCAGGUUCGACUCCUGGUGGGCCCG